GCUGGCGGCGUGCCUAACACAUGCAAGUCGAACGAGAACGGGUUAAAGUUUACUUUAACUGUCAGCUAAGUGGCGCACGGGUGAGUAAUAUAUAGUUAAUCUGCCCCAAAGAAGAGAAUAAUUGUUGGAAACGACUUGUAACUCUCUAUAUGCCUUUAUCACAUAAGUGAGCAAGGGAAACAUUUAUGGCUUUGGGAUGAGACUGUACGGUAUCAGUUAGUUGGUAAGGUAAUGGCUUACCAAGACUAUGACGCCUAACUGGUUUGAGAGGAUGAUCAGUCACACUGGAACUGAGACACGGUCCAGACUCCUACGGGAGGCAGCAGUGGGGAAUAUUGCACAAUGGAGGAAACUCUGAUGCAGCAACGCCGCGUGGAGGAUGACACAUUUCGGUGCGUAAACUCCUUUUAUAUGAGAAGAUAAUGACGGUAUCAUAUGAAUAAGCACCGGCUAACUCCGUGCCAGCAGCCGCGGUAAUACGGGGGGUGCAAGCGUUACUCGGAAUCACUGGGCGUAAAGAGCAUGUAGGCGGAUAGAUAAGUUGGAAGUGAAAUCCUAUGGCUUAACCAUAGAACUGCUUCCAAAACUGUCUAUCUAGAAUAUGGGAGAGGUAGAUGGAAUUUCUGGUGUAGGGGUAAAAUCCGUAGAGAUCAGAAGGAAUACCGAUUGCGAAGGCGAUCUACUGGAACAUUAUUGACGCUCAGAUGCGAAAGCGUGGGGAGCAAACAGGAUUAGAUACCCUGGUAGUCCACGCCCUAAACGAUGCACACUAGUUGUUGCCUUGCUAGACAAGGCAGUAAUGCAGUUAACACAGUAAGUGUGCCGCCUGGGGA
rnacentral:rRNA from 1 species